UCCCCUAUGGCGCAAUUGGCUAGCGCGUCAGACUGUUACCUUUCCCCAAAAGGCAAUUAUCUGGAGGUUCAUAGUUCGACCCUAUGUGGGGGAG
rnacentral:tRNA from 1 species